CGGACGGGUGAGUAACGCGUGGGUAACCUGCCUUAUACAGGGGGAUAACAGUUAGAAAUGACUGCUAAUACCGCAUAAGCGCACAGUGCUGCAUGGCACAGUGUGAAAAACUCCGGUGGUACAAGAUGGACCCGCGUCUGAUUAGCUGGUUGGUGAGGUAACGGCCCACCAAGGCGACGAUCAGUAGCCGGCCUGAGAGGGUGAACGGCCACAUUGGGACUGAGACACGGCCCAAACUCCUACGGGAGGCAGCAUG
rnacentral:rRNA from 1 species